GGCCCAUAGUAUAGUGGUCAGAGAGUUGGACUAAAAGACAAUGGGACACUAGGGUUCAAAUCCCUGUUGGGCCA